GGGGUAGUUGUAUGGGUGGCAGUGCUGAGGACGGUGUAGGGGAAGGGGUAGUUGUAUGGGUGGCAGUGCUGAGGACGGUGUAGGGGAAGGGGUAGUUGUAUGGGUGGCAGUGCUGAGGAUGGUGACGGGGUGUAGGGGGAAGGAGUAGUUGGGGGUGGGCAGAGCGGUGGUCGACUGGACAAGGCGUGGUGGAUGCAGAGAUUAGCAUAUUUUCAUUUUCAGCUAGUGUACAAGGAAUGGAAAAAGCACGAAAAGACGAGAGGCGUGUGCUCCACCUGUAACCCCAUUUCUAGCUGGGCCUGCCAGAGCAAACCCAAGGGCUCCAGUCAUUUUGCAGACGUGCUAGUGACAGUCUGCUCCUUCUGGUGAACGGCAGUAUAGUGCAGGGCCCAGAGAGUGAGAUUCAAGAGUGAAUCAUCGCUCCCAGCGAACACGGAGAUAGGAUGCGGCAGGAGAACCUCCUUUUUACCCCAAACCCCACUGUCAGUAAAGGAGCGGGUCACUUGUACUGAACGGGGGUGUAGCAACACUGCAGUAUAGUGAAGACAGAGAUAUAGAUAUAGAGAUACAGUCGGGAAACACAACAUGCAGGGCAAAACUCGGCCCCGUGCAGAGGGACAACACUAGGCGAACGGCACCCCUAGUGAACUCCAGGUGACCCCUUUCUUUCUGGUUAUUUGUAGGGAAGCCCUGUGUGCAGAGAGACCAUAGAUAGUGGAGCCCCGCAUGUGGGGAACGCAGAUAGAGGGAGCGCAGUGACCCGAGGCAUUUGCAGUGUGUGGGAAGCAGAUAUUUUCUAAUCUCACUUCUGUUUAUUUUUGUAGCUGUCCCUCUGUAAAUAGAAUUGGUUUGGCAGCUCUUGGCUGUACCGGCUGCAGCUUUGUUCCCCAGAAGGCCUGUCAGACAGAUGGGUUUUUUAUGGUAGAUUGGGGUGGGGAACGUGGUGCCUACGGGGUUAAAUGUGACCCACGGUGUCCUGUGGUAGCUGUGGCCCAAGGCCAGACUGGGUCUCAGCAGGAACUGCUCCCCUUUGAUCUUCAUGCAGGGGGCUCUGCUUCUGCAGGGGAGAUGAGUGCUGCAGGGAGCGGCUCCUGUGCUUAGGAGGGCCAGUCCUGUGGCAGCUGCUGGAGAGAUGACAGUGGGAUUCUUGUUUGGGCCCCUUUUGGCCCUGCUGUGGAGCAUAGAUGGGCUGGGCUUUUGGAGCCCGGGGCAGGCAGGCCCAGCCGCUGGGAUCCAAUUUGCAACACGUUUUGUUGGUGCCCUGAGUUCUGGGCUAAGGAAUUGCAGUUGUGAAAUGUGACACCUUUGCAUGCCCUGCUGUGCUGGGCCCUGCUGUGUCAGUCCUGGGUGUGCCCCACAGGUUACCUGCCAGCCCUGGGCUCCCUGUGCCCCUGGUACCCCCUGUCGUCACUCUCCUGAGCAGAGCUCUGGAGUUCUUGCAAGGUCAGCCACCAUCCUUUCGGGACAAGGCUGAGCCACUCGUGUUAGCCUCGCUGGUGACCUGAAUUGCACCAUUUGUACACGCAUCCACCGAAAGGAGAUGUUGCCGUGCUGCAGGAGUGCCCCCCCCCCCCCAAUCACUGGGCAUGACCGAUCCAUCCCAACCGUGGCAGCUGCUUCCUACCUUCCUCCUCCUGGCGGAAGGGGCUGGGCAAGUGGCAUCUGUCAGCCAGUGCGGGGAGGGGAGCUAGGCCAGUAGGGGAUGGGAGAUCAGGGCGAGGGAUGAAAGAGGGCCUAUUUUUAUACUGCAAAGCAAUUACCAGCGCCUUGCAAUCCUUAAUCUGCUCGAGUGCCCUUGUGCUAUUGGUUCCUUCCCUGAGCCUGGCAAAAGCUCUGUGCAGCUCCCGUCAUGUGUUGCCUGCAUCAAAGCCCUGUACCCUCUUGGCUGCAUGUGCUGCCGAGGGCCUCACCCAUGCUGCCCUGGGAGGAGCCCUGCCCUGGGUGAUGAGCUGGGCCAGCCGCUCUGUGGCUGAGGCCUUGCCCUCCCAGAUGUGGGUGCUCGGGUCGUGGGCAGCCCCUCUCAGCACCUUCCUGGGGGGGCGUGGAGCCAGUGAGGGGGUUGCUGUUGGCGGGGUGAGCCUUCCUCGCCCUUGCUCAGCAAAGUCCUCGAGGGGAGUGGGAGCGGCAGCUGCCAGCCAGGAAGCCGCUCAGUGCCAUUGGUGAUGUGUGCACACAUGCACUAGGAGCAUGACCACAGCCCACCGGCUCUCUCCAUCCAGGGGCCACCCCGUGAUAAUGAUUUUCCAUCACGGCAGACCUAGGUUAGGACUUGUACCCUCAGGAUCAAGGGCUCCUCUCCCACCCUGAUGUCCUGAGCCACCUAGUUCCCCUUGAGUUACUGAGGAUGUGGGGAGUGGCGGGCACCACUGGAGUGGAACUGGUGUGCUCCACGAGCACAGAUGGAUCUCGAAUGCUCUGGGUGUAUUGCUGCUGUGCAUGAAUGGCGGAGGUGGAGCUUGCCAAGCCUCUCCCGUCCAGGCCUCUCCCCAUCCCAGUCAUUGCUGCAGAACCUGUUCUGUUGCUCUGGCAGUGUGUGAGGUUAGGCUCUUUUGCUGGAGGAGUAAUUACUGAUGUUUACAGUAAUACUUUUCAUUCCAAGAACCCUAAGCACAUUUCAUGUACACUCAGGGGUUACUUAACCCUUCUCUGACAUGCAGCCACCUCUGGGGCAGAGCACAGCAGUGCUUGGCACAACAGAUGAGAACAGGAAGUGGAGAAGUAUCCUGCAUUCAGUGUGGAUAAAAAUCAAUGAUUUUUUU